UCUAAGAACAUGGGUACCUUUUCUGA
rnacentral:piRNA from 1 species